AUUGAACGCUGGCGGCAGGCCUAACACAUGCAAGUCGAGCGGAUGAAGGUAGCUUGCUCCUGGAUUCAGCGGCGGACGGGUGAGUAAUGCCUAGGAAUCUGCCUGGUAGUGGGGGAUAACGUCCGGAAACGGGCGCUAAUACCGCAUACGUCCUGAGGGAGAACGUGGGGGAUCUUCGGACCUCACGCUAUCAGAUGAGCCUAGGUCGGAUUAGCUAGUUGGUGGGGUAAAGGCCUACCAAGGCGACGAUCCGUAACUGGUCUGAGAGGAUGAUCAGUCAAACGGGAAAUGAGACACGGGCCAGACUCCUAAGGGAGGCAGCAGUGGGGAAUAUUGGACAAUGGGCGAAAGCCUGAUCCAGCCAUGCCGCGUGUGUGAAGAAGGUCUUCGGAUUGUAAAGCACUUUAAGUUGGGAGGAAGGGCAGUAAGUUAAUACCUUGCUGUUGUGACGUUACCAACAGAAUAAGCACCGGCUAACUUAGUG
rnacentral:rRNA from 1 species